GACGAACGCUGGCGGCGUGCUUAACACAUGCAAGUCGAACGGAAAGGCCCUGCUUUUGUGGGGUGCUCGAGUGGCGAACGGGUGAGUAACACGUGAGUAACCUGCCCUUGACUUUGGGAUAACUUCAGGAAACUGGGGCUAAUACCGGAUAGGAGCUCCUGCUGCAUGGUGGGGGUUGGAAAGUUUCGGCGGUUGGGGAUGGACUCGCGGCUUAUCAGCUUGUUGGUGGGGUAGUGGCUUACCAAGGCUUCGACGGGUAGCCGGCCUGAGAGGGUGACCGGCCACAUUGGGACUGAGAUACGGCCCAGACUGCUACGGGAGGCAGCAGGGGGGAAUAUUGCACAAUGGGCGGAAGCCUGAUGCAGAAACGCCGCGUGCGGGAUGACGGCCUUCGGGUUGUAAACCGCUUUCGCCUGUGACGAAGCGUGAGUGACGGUAAUGGGUAAAGAAGCACCGGCUAACUACGUG
rnacentral:rRNA from 1 species